UCAAUUCAUUGGCACUCACACUUCC
rnacentral:piRNA from 1 species